UACGUAGGGUGCAAGCGUUAAUCGGAAUUACUGGGCGUAAAGCGUGCGCAGGCGGUUAUGCAAGACAGAUGUGAAAUCCCCGGGCUCAACCUGGGAACUGCAUUUGUGACUGCAUGGCUGGAGUGCGGCAGAGGGGGAUGGAAUUCCGCGUGUAGCAGUGAAAUGCGUAGAUAUGCGGAGGAACACCGAUGGCGAAGGCAAUCCCCUGGGCCUGCACUAACGCUCAUGCACGAAAGCGUGGGGAGCAAACAGG
rnacentral:rRNA from 1 species